AACGAACGCUGGCGGCAGGCUUAACACAUGCAAGUCGAACGCAUCCUUCGGGGUGAGUGGCAGACGGGUGAGUAACGCGUGGGAACGUGCCCUUCAGUUCGGGAUAACCCAGGGAAACUUGGGCUAAUACCGGAUACGUGCGAGAGCAGAAAGAUUUAUCGCUGAAGGAUCGGCCCGCGUCUGAUUAGCUAGUUUGUGGGGUAAUGGCCCACCAAGGCGACGAUCAGUAGCUGGUCUGAGAGGAUGAUCAGCCACCUUGGGACUUAGACACGGCCCAAACUCCGACGGGAGGCAGCAGUGGGGAAUAUUGGACAAUGGGCGCAAGCCUGAUCCAGCCAUGCCGCGUGAGUGAUGAAGGCCUUAGGGUUGUAAAGCUCUUUCGUCCGGGACGAUAAUGACGGUACCGGAAGAAGAAGCCCCGGCUAACUUCGUGCCAGCCGCCGCGGUAA
rnacentral:rRNA from 1 species